GAUGAACGCUGGCGGCGUGCCUAACACAUGCAAGUCGAACGGGGUUCUAUAUCGGAAGUUUUCGGAUGGAAGAGAUAGGACCCAGUGGCGGACGGGCGAGUAACACGUGGGUAACCUGCCUCAUAGAGGGGGAUAACAGAGAGAAAUCACUGCUAAUACCGCAUAAGCACACGGGAUCGCAUGAUCCAGGGUGAAAAGAUUUAUCGCUAUGAGAUGGACUCGCGUCUGAUUAGCUGGUUGGCGGGGUAAAGGCCCACCAAGGCGACGAUCAGUAGCCGAUCUGAGAGGAUGGCCGGCCACAUUGGGACUGAGACACGGCCCAGACUCCUACGGGAGGCAGCAGUGGGGGAUAUUGCACAAUGGAGGGAACUCUGAUGCAGCAACGCCGCGUGAGUGAAGAAGUAUUUCGGUAUGUAAAGCUCUAUCAGCAGGGAAGAUGAUGACAGUACCUGAAUAAGAAGCCCCGGCGA
rnacentral:rRNA from 1 species